UACAGAGGUCUCAAGCGUUGUUCGGAUUUACUGGGCGUAAAGGGCGCGUAGGCGGCAAUUCAAGUCAUCUGUGAAAUCUCCGGGCUUAACCCGGAACGGUCAGAUGAUACUGCUUUGCUAGAGUGCGGAAGGGGCAAUCGGAAUUCUCGGUGUAGCGGUGAAAUGCGUAGAUAUCGAGAGGAACACCUGAGGUGAAGACGGGUUGCUGGGCCGACACUGACGCUGAGUGCGCGAAAGCCAGGGGAGCAAACGGG
rnacentral:rRNA from 1 species